UAUGGAAAAUUAUAGAAACCUGCGUGACAACUGUACGUUAACUGACAUAUAAAACGUAUCGCCUGCUAAUGCAGGUUGUUCGUCGGUGGGGUUAGCUCCUUGCUAUGUGUAAAUUAAUAAGAAAAAGGUACCUUUGAAACUUGCAGUACUUCGAACUCCUCGGAUGCUGUGACCGCAGACGGCAAGAAGAUAUUUUGGGUCACCGCGUGUCGAAAAUGCUGCGACGAAAACGAAGAUUCACUUUCAUGCACACAUGUCCGGAAUGUAAACAGAUCGGGAGUCUCCACGAGACCACGCGGCGCGGCUCUGAGGGGCAGAGGGACUGUGAAAUGGACUGAACGAAAACAUCAAAAUCAAGGGGAGCAUAAGAAAGACAGGCAUGUAUUAGAUAGCAGCAGAGGGAACUCCCACCUUAGGGGGAGGACAUGUAAAGGUGGAAUUAGGGGGGAAAGUGAAGAGCCACUCUCAGAACAGGCAGGUUUCAGGAAGUGUGUGCAAUAUUUUUUUUAAAUAAACGCCAUGCAUAUCA